rnacentral:lncRNA from 1 species
GGGAAAAAAUCAUGUUUUUUAAAAGAAUAAAUGGAGGAAGCCAAUAUAAAGUGAAGAGAAAAUAAUGACUUCAAGCAUUUAUUCAGUCACGUUGUGUGCGACUUCUGAGCAAUAAAGAUAUCAUUUACACUGCAUGCCAGGCAGAACGAAGAGUCUCUGUCCUGGUGUACCAAGUAAGGAUAGGAAAGACAGAAGUAUCAGUCUUUUUACUUUCAGUGGAGCAAUAUGCUCAUUAACCAGAAAUUAAUUUAGAAAAUUGUAUCUCAAAUCUGUUUCCAAAGUGUUCAAUAAUUUGGGUCUGCCCUAACAACAUGAGACUCGUCCAUCAUCUGUUUGUUUAAGCAAGAAAGCUCAAUUUGGGAGGACCUGGGGAGGUGGCUGUUUAUAUAUUGGCCACAUAGUUUAUUAUUUUCAAAAAUCAUUGAUGUUCUACCCCUUCUUAUAGUGAAACAAUCCAAAGACUCCACUUGUACAGAAAUCAGGAUUUUUCAAACAUGCCAACCACAAGGGUCACUUAUUUAAAUACACGUUCCCAGGCAGCUCCAGGGGAUUGGCAUUUUGAUGACUCCAGUCAUCAGAUAAGCUUGAGCAAUAGUUCCCAUACCCAUUCUCAGCCCUGACCUGUACUGGAGUCUCCUAGAGAAUAUAAAAAGCAACU